AGGAAAGAAACUGGAUCUGAGGGACCCAGAGGAAGAUGACAACAAAAGUUAAAAGGCACAGCACAGGUGGGCAUUACUAAUUCCUGCCAGUUGAGCCAAGCUUCCCGUUUCAUGGAUAAAGGUCAUACUAGUAUUCAUGGCAUAAAUGAAUAAGGGAUUCUAAGGCUACUGACAGCAGGGGAGAUAGGGCACACGCAGUUAAGAGCAGAUACUCCCACUCCCUAGGCACCCCCUGUUACAUGAUUGAAAGCUGCUUUGACAGCCAUGGGUGACACCCUGUCAUAGUCACUGGAACUCAGGGAUAUAAGGACAGAGGAAAGAAGAACACCUCACUUUUCCUCCCUCAUGUAUCCUGGGUAUUUGCUAAGAAGAGAAAGAAAUCAGGGAUGCCUGCUCCCCUUUGUAGAUGAGAAGCCAUUCAUCUUCAGUCUGUACCCCUUUCAAAUGCAAACUGAACCUCUGGGACUCCUCUGAAAAAGCAGCUUUCUUUUUUCCUUUUUCCUCCUCUGACUUUUCUUUACAGCUAGGUAAUUUUGUUUUUAUACAUUCCCCUCAGGUGCAUCCUCCAAACUGGGAGGAGUUAAUUCCCAAACCUUAGACUGGUUGGGCUCAGGGGAAGGGAACCCAGAAGUCUGACAUGCUGGCGAAAGGGCCAUCAGACUCCAAAUGGUCAUGCAACCGGAGCCACGGAUGAUGGCCCCUUUUGCUGGAGACCCUUAGAUAGGCCUCUGAAGAAGAUCUGACCACCAUUUUCCCAAAAUAGAAUCGACCUUAUGGCUCAAACACCUCCCACCCCCUGUCAUUAGGGAGCAGUUAGGAUUGGUUUUUGUUCUUAUCCUUAUCUUUAUUCUAACAGAAGAUAGAUGUACAUUUUUAGAGCGGGGAAUGAGGCAGCCAAAUGCCUAGCCAGAUAAUAAAGGGUCCCUGGAGAAUCUCUGAGCGGCCCCACAAGUAUUUGCAUUAGAUGUUUUCGUGCAAAUGAGGGAAGCUUCUCAGGGCUUAUCUGGGCAUGCCCACAGUGGACUGGAGCCCAACAAGCACACUAGCGGGUGGAGCUAUGGGGAAUUCAAACCUUAUGCAGGGGAGAAACCUGCUUUCUUCAGUUUAUGUGGUGACCUGGGAAUCAAUCUAUGAGGUAGAGGACCUAUUAGCAGGUCUCCAUCUCACUUUGCUGAGUUUUUUUCUUUCUUUUUUUCCAAUAAAGUCCUGCUGUAUUCACCCUUCAA